CACAGACCUUCCAAAAUUCCAAAAAAGCAUCACUACUGGGCAGUUUUUGGGGAAGUCAAGCCAGCAAACAUGCAAAAUCAAAGACAAAUAGGGAGAUGAAUUCUCACACUGAUCCUCUGCUCCUGUCUAGCUCUAUGAGACCAUCUUCACAGGACCAAAAGGAGACUCAGAAGACAGAAGCUGCCCGGGACCCUGCUGGGAAGGGCUGGCUCCAGAGGCCUUUCCUUGCUCCAGCUGCAGCAGAUCCUGGGGAGAAACCUCCAGGUUUGACCUUCAGGGGCCCUUCACCUGCCUCAGUGCUGGAAUCCACCUCUGGCUAGAGCUCUUUUGGUUGGAGCCCUUCUCUUUCCUCACCCGGUUGUGGCAGGAAAGUUCAAGGUGUCCUGGCAGCAGAAAGCUCCUUUGCUCCACCCUCUGCCCUGCACACUGGCUCUCUGAGGUGAUCAAGGAUUUGCUGAACCAGAGCUGCCAGUGACAGCGACCUGGUCUGUGUGGCAGCUUGGGUGGGAGCUGGACCCCCGGCAUGAAGCACUUCUGCGAGCCCUGGGCAGCCUUCGCUGUGCUCUUCUUCGCCACUGUGACCUGGCAUUCCUGCUCAGCAGCAGCUGAAGACAUCUCCAAUGUUUCAACAAGCUCCAUGCUCACAACUGAGUACGAAUCACCAUGUCUUAACAUGAACUUCUGCACACAAGCAGCCAUGUGCUGCGCGACAGGUGUGGAUGAUUAUGGAUGGAUUGCAGCAGCCGUUGGCUGGAGCCUCUGGUUUCUGACUCUCAUCCUGCUCUGCGUGGACAAGGUCAUGAAACUCCGGCCUGACGAACCCAAAUAUUUCGUGGCCUGAAGCAGGGCAAGCCAGCAAGCAGCAGAACCCGGGACCAGUGAGGUGCAGACAGACUGACUGGCAUCUCAAGCACUUCCUAAGAAACAAAAAAGAAAGGGAACAUACCUUCAGCCAAAAUAGGCCAGAUCUAAAUGGGGCACCUACUGGGGCUUCAUCUUCCCGGCGGGUCAGAGCUGCCAGCCAAAGUGUAGAGCAGGCAAGUCCCUGCAAACCACCACAUAUGUCCCACAGUGCACAGAAAACUUUUCCCUGAGCAUUUCCAUGCUUUCUGUGAGUGCCCCAGGAGCGAUGAGAUGCUGAAGGACCAGUAACCAGCCUAUAGCACACUGCCUUAAGACAACCCAGUGCAUAACCUUUCAGUCUGAAACAUGAAGUGGGCAAAUAAAGCUAUUUUCUGGAGUAUCA
rnacentral:lncRNA from 1 species